CGCGUUGCUGGCCGAGCAGGACGCCGGCAUCUGCGCCUUCCACGUGCUGGUAGUCGAGGACGGCUCGGUGCUCGGCAGGUUCAACCUCGUCGACAUCG
rnacentral:tRNA from 1 species